UACUCAGGAGACUGAGUUGCGAGAAUGACUUGAAUCUGGGAAGUCGAGGCUGCAGUGAGCCAUGACUGCACCACUGCAUUCCAGCCUGGGUGUGUCUCAAGGGAAAGAAAAUUGUGCAACUUUAAGUUGUUUCUAUCAACAAAGAAGAUGUCCAGAAAUACUAUCAUUGGUGCUGUGUUUAUAAAUGCAAAUCUCAUUACCCUGGUGGUCCAUUGAUAGCUUAAGAGGAAAUAAAAUGUAAUUUUCUGAUUAUCUAUUACCAGAUCCUAUGAAAAUUACAGUCUAAUAGAAUUCUCCCAAAAUGUCACCUGCAUUUGAGAGUUUGCAUACCCAGAAGCCUUUCUACCUAACUAAAACUCUGACUCAGUAUAUCACAAACUAUUUGACAACUUUAUGCAACUAGUCAUUCGUUAGACGAAAAAUUUACAUAAAACUGAGCAACCAACAGGUAAUCUGUUAUCUCUUAAUGAAAAGCAUCUAAAAUUAUCAACAACUUAAGCUUUAAUCUAUUUGCAAAUGCCUCCCCUAAGAAAAGGUAAAAGUCCAAUCUCAAUAUGCUACAUGCCACAUUAAGCAUAGAAACACGAGACAAAUAUAUGAAAGACUUCUGUCAUGAGAGGAAAACAAAAUGAAAAUGAUGAUAUGCUGGUAGUCUUUGCUUCAAACAGAACUUCCGAAACAUGGCAAGUUUCCUGGUGACCGUUUUCCGCUAUCUGUGUGCUGCCAAACCAACACACACCUCUUCUUUUUCCCCACCCAUUCCCGAGGUCGUUAACCUUCUCAGUGCUGACAGCGAAGACUCCUUAAAACAAGGUUGACAAGAUGUGAAAACUUUCCACAUACAGCCUGCCAAAUGUCUAAACUGGAUGUAUCACUUUUCAAGCCCACCAAGCUAGAGGAACAUUUUGGCACUGGUGAAAUGCUCCAAAUGACAUCAGCUGAUUUUAUUCCCCAAGUGGCUAUUGCAGGCCUACCACAAGUGAUGGACACUCUGCCACAUGUGGUGGAUGCAACAGCUCUCUCUUUGCCUGUUGCCAUCCGUGUAAGAGGUGACUUGCUCCUCC